rnacentral:rRNA from 1 species
AUUGAACGCUGGCGGCAUGGCUAAAACAUGCAAGUCGAGCGCGAAAGGGAGCAAUCCCCGUGUAGAGCGGCGAAAGGGUGAGUAAUGCGUUCCUACGUGCCUCAAGGUCGGGGAGUAGCCAGGGGAAACGUACUGGGUAAUACCCGAUGUGGUCGCAAGAUCAAAGGCUUGCCGCCUUGAGAGCGGGGAACGUCCUAUCAGGUAGUUGGUGAGGUAACGGCUCACCAAGCCAUUGACGGGUAGCGGGUGUGAGAGCAUGGCCCGCCACAUCGAAACUGAGACACUGUUCGGACUCCUACGGGAGGCUGCAGUAACGAAUCUUCCGCAAUGCGCGAAAGCGUGACGAGCAAUGCCGCGUGCAGGAUGAA